UGGUCAAGAAUCAUGACAUCCUGACGCACAAUUAGAAGUCAAACAUCAAGUAUUGACUUAAUGUCAUACAUAAAAAUUCACUCUCUCACAAUAUUAAGAUUCAAUAUUCACAUAAUAUGUGAUGCAUCAAAUGUGGGAAGCCUUAAAAAGAACGCUCUUUUUAUUUAACAUCAUGCACUAGAUAUAAAUGGCAUGUCAAAUGAAAAAAAAAAAUAAUAAUAAUA
rnacentral:misc_RNA from 1 species